UGGGGAAUUUUGGACAAUGGGCGCAAGCCUGAUCCAGCCAUGCCGCGUGUCUGAAGAAGGCCUUCGGGUUGUAAAGGACUUUUGUCAGGGAAGAAAAGGCUGUCGCUAAUACCGACAGCUGAUGACGGUACCUGAAGAAUAAGCACCGGCUAACUACGUGCCAGCAGCCGCGGUAAUACGUAGGGUGCGAGCGUUAAUCGGAAUUACUGGGCCUAAAGCGAGCGCAGACGGUUACUUAAGCAGGAUGUGAAAUCCCCGGGCUCAACCUGGGAACUGCGUUCUGAACUGGGUGACUAGAGUGUGUCAGAGGGAGGUAGAAUUCCACGUGUAGCAGUGAAAUGCGUAGAGAUGUGGAGGAAUACCGAUGGCGAAGGCAGCCUCCUGGGAUAACACUGACGUUCAUGCUCGAAAGCGUGGGUAGCAAACAGGAUUAGAUACCCUGGUAGUCCACGCCCUAAACGAUGUCAAUUAGCUGUUGGGCAACUUGAUUGCUUAGUAGCGUAGCUAACGCGUGAAAUUGACCGCCUGGGGAGUACGGUCGCAAGAUUA
rnacentral:rRNA from 1 species